rnacentral:lncRNA from 1 species
AAAUUCUGAAAUACUUCAUUCACUGUCUUCAGCAUGGCUAGCAGGUACAAGAGUACCGACUGCAGCAGAGCCGGUACUCCACAGAGGGUCAAAGCAGGGCCUUGCGAUGUACAGCGGCAUUACAAAUCUACUAGACAAAUGGCAUGGAUUUCGACAGCAAGGAGCGCCCUCUUCAUCUCACUCAAAGCCCUCCGUCGGAGGCCUUUGAGGGAGAAGGAGAGGAAAGUCCUUGAAGAGCCCCCUCCACUUCCUCUACAUGCCAUGCUUCUUGUGUUGAAAGGAGACCAUGCAAAUGCCUGGGUUUAAAUAGGCCACAGAGGAUGCAAAAUAGGUAUCACCAAACCAGCUGGGUCAUCUCUUGCAAUCACUGUCAGAGGUGGUUAUAUUCUUUCUCAUCUUCUUUUCCCAGUUGCAACAACCUGGAGUCUUUUACUUUGGGAGUCUGGACUUUUGGGCAACACCAAGGGAUGCUACGUGGCGCCAGCGAUCUGAAAUGUGAUACUGAAUAUAUGCUUCACCAUUUCUUUACAGCACCCUGUAAGACAUGACUUCUGUUAAACUACAGCAAAUAAUAUGGCGAGUGCAAG